rnacentral:rRNA from 1 species
UAGGUGGCAAGCGUUGUCCGGAUUUACUGGGCGUAAAGAGCGCGCAGGCGGUCGUUCAAGUCGCGUGUGAAAUCCCUCGGCUCAACUGAGGAACUGCCUUUGAAACUGCCUGGCUUGAGGCCGGGAGGGGGUAGCGGAAUUCCCAGUGUAGCGGUGAAAUGCGUAGAUAUUGGGAGGAACACCAGUGGCGAAGGCGGCUACCUGGACCGGUUCUGACGCUGAUGCGCGAAAGCGUGGGUAGCAAACAGG